rnacentral:rRNA from 1 species
AUACGGAGGAUGCGAGCGUUAUCCGGAUUUGUUAGGUUUAAAGGGUGUGUAGGCGGUAUUUUAAGUCAGUGGUGAAAUCUCGGAGCUUAACUUCGAAACUGCCAUUGAUACUGGAAUACUUGAGUAUAGUUGAGGUAGGCGGAAUAUGUAAUGUAGCGGUGAAAUGCAUAGAUAUUACAUAGAACACCGAUUGCGAAGGCAGCUUACUAAACUAUUACUGACGCUGAUGCACGAAAGCGUGCGGAGCGAACAGGAUUAGAAACCCCAGUAGUCC